rnacentral:rRNA from 1 species
GAGAGUUCAAGAGAACGUGAAAUCGUUGAGGUGGAACCGGAGAGAGUUGACGUAGUCUGGUGGAUAAGUAUUAUAAGAAUCGUAUUCAUUGAUUUGAAUAUGGUCAAAUAAUAUGUAUGCCAUCAAUGACUGUGCUGACAGCAUCGACUGCACAAUCCGAACUAUGUUGACAUGUUGCUCAUUCUAUUCAUUUAGAAUGGUGUCUUGUGUUACGUUGUAAGGUUUGUUGUAUGUUGAUGUUGAUAUACGUGUAAUUAUUUG